UACGGGGGGGGCAAGCGUUGUUCGGAAUUACUGGGCGUAAAGGGCUCGUAGGCGGCCAACUAAGUCAGACGUGAAAUCCCUCGGCUUAACCGGGGAACUGCGUCUGAUACUGGAUGGCUUGAGAUUGGGAGAGGGAUGCGGAAUUCCCCAAGUAGAGGUGAAAUUCGUAGAUAUGGGGAGGAACACCGGUGGCGAAGGCGGUCACCUGGACGGAUACUGACGCUGAGACGCGAAAGCGUGGGGAGCAAACAGG
rnacentral:rRNA from 1 species